rnacentral:rRNA from 1 species
UACGGAGGGGGCUAGCGUUGUUCGGAAUUACUGGGCGUAAAGCGCACGUAGGCGGCUUUGUAAGUUAGAGGUGAAAGCCCGGGGCUCAACUCCGGAAUUGCCUUUAAGACUGCAUCGCUAGAAUUGUGGAGAGGUAAGUGGAAUUCCGAGUGUAGAGGUGAAAUUCGUAGAUAUUCGGAAGAACACCUGUGGCGAAAGCGGCGCACUGGACCACAACUGACGCUGAGGCGCGAAAGCUAGGGGAGCAAACAGG